rnacentral:rRNA from 1 species
GGUUAAGUUAGAAAGGGCGCACGGUGGAUGCCUUGACACUAGGAGUCGAUGAAGGACGGGACUAACGCCGAUAUGCUUCGGGGAGCUGUAAGUAAGCUUUGAUCCGAAGAUUUCCGAAUGGGGAAACCCACCAUACGUAAUGGUAUGGUAUCCUUAUCUGAAUACAUAGGGUAAGGAAGACAGACCCAGGGAACUGAAACAUCUAAGUACCUGGAGGAAGAGAAAGCAAAUGCGAUUUCCUGAGUAGCGGCGAGCGAAACGGAACAUAGCCCAAACCAAGAGGCUUGCCUCUUGGGGUUGUAGGACAUUCUAUACGGAGUUACAAAGGAACGAGGUAGACGAAGCGACCUGGAAAGGUCCGUCGUAGAGGGUAACAACCCCGUAGUCGAAACUUCGUUCUCUCUUGAAUGUAUCCUGAGUACGGCGGAACACGUGAAAUUCCGUCGGAAUCUGGGAGGACCAUCUCCCAAGGCUAAAUACUCCCUAGUGAUCGAUAGUGAACCAGUACCGUGAGGGAAAGGUGAAAAGCACCCCGGAAGGGGAGUGAAAGAGAUCCUGAAACCGUGUGCCUACAAAUAGUCAGAGCCCGUUAACGGGUGAUGGCGUGCCUUUUGUAGAAUGAACCGGCGAGUUACGAUCCCGUGCGAGGUUAAGCUGAAGAGGCGGAGCCGCAGCGAAAGCGAGUCUGAAUAGGGCGUUUAGUACGUGGUCGUAGACCCGAAACCAGGUGAUCUACCCAUGUCCAGGGUGAAGUUCAGGUAACACUGAAUGGAGGCCCGAACCCACGCACGUUGAAAAGUGCGGGGAUGAGGUGUGGGUAGCGGAGAAAUUCCAAUCGAACCUGGAGAUAGCUGGUUCUCCCCGAAAUAGCUUUAGGGCUAGCCUUAAGUGUAAGAGUCUUGGAGGUAGAGCACUGAUUGGACUAGGGGUCCUCAUCGGAUUACCGAAUUCAGUCAAACUCCGAAUGCCAAUGACUUAUCCUUAGGAGUCAGACUGCGAGUGAUAAGAUCCGUAGUCAAAAGGGAAACAGCCCAGACCGCCAGCUAAGGUCCCAAAGUGUGUAUUAAGUGGAAAAGGAUGUGGAGUUGCUUAGACAACUAGGAUGUUGGCUUAGAAGCAGCCACCAUUUAAAGAGUGCGUAAUAGCUCACUAGUCGAGUGACUCUGCGCCGAAAAUGUACCGGGGCUAAAUACACCACCGAAGCUGCGGAUUGAUACCGAAUGGUAUCAGUGGUAGGGGAGCGUUCUAAGGACAGUGAAGUCAGACCGGAAGGACUGGUGGAGUGCUUAGAAGUGAGAAUGCCGGUAUGAGUAGCGAAAGACGGGUGAGAAUCCCGUCCACCGAAUGCCUAAGGUUUCCUGAGGAAGGCUCGUCCGCUCAGGGUUAGUCAGGACCUAAGCCGAGGCCGACAGGCGUAGGCGAUGGACAACAGGUUGAUAUUCCUGUACCACCUCUUUAUCGUUUGAGCAAUGGAGGGACGCAGAAGGAUAGAAGAAGCGUGCGAUUGGUUGUGCACGUCCAAGCAGUUAGGCUGAUAAGUAGGCAAAUCCGCUUAUCGUAAAGGCUGAGCUGUGAUGGGGAAGCUCCUUAUGGAGCGAAGUCUUUGAUUCCCCGCUGCCAAGAAAAGCUUCUAGCGAGAUAAAAGGUGCCUGUACCGCAAACCGACACAGGUAGGCGAGGAGAGAAUCCUAAGGUGUGCGAGAGAACUCUGGUUAAGGAACUCGGCAAAAUGACCCCGUAACUUCGGGAGAAGGGGUGCUUUCUUAACGGAAAGCCGCAGUGAAUAGGCCCAAGCGACUGUUUAGCAAAAACACAGCUCUCUGCGAAGCCGUAAGGCGAAGUAUAGGGGGUGACACCUGCCCGGUGCUGGAAGGUUAAGGAGAGGGGUUAGCGUAAGCGAAGCUCUGAACUGAAGCCCCAGUAAACGGCGGCCGUAACUAUAACGGUCCUAAGGUAGCGAAAUUCCUUGUCGGGUAAGUUCCGACCCGCACGAAAGGUGUAACGAUUUGGGCACUGUCUCAACCAGAGACUCGGUGAAAUUAUAGUACCUGUGAAGAUGCAGGUUACCCGCGACAGGACGGAAAGACCCCGUGGAGCUUUACUGUAGCCUGAUAUUGAAUUUUGGUACAGUUUGUACAGGAUAGGCGGGAGCCUUUGAAACCGGAGCGCUAGCUUCGGUGGAGGCGCUGGUGGGAUACCGCCCUGACUGUAUUGAAAUUCUAACCUACGGGUCUUAUCGACCCGGGAGACAGUGUCAGGUGGGCAGUUUGACUGGGGCGGUCGCCUCCUAAAGUGUAACGGAGGCGCCCAAAGGUUCCCUCAGAAUGGUUGGAAAUCAUUCGUAGAGUGCAAAGGCAUAAGGGAGCUUGACUGCGAGACCUACAAGUCGAGCAGGGACGAAAGUCGGGCUUAGUGAUCCGGUGGUUCCGCAUGGAAGGGCCAUCGCUCAACGGAUAAAAGCUACCCCGGGGAUAACAGGCUUAUCUCCCCCAAGAGUCCACAUCGACGGGGAGGUUUGGCACCUCGAUGUCGGCUCAUCGCAUCCUGGGGCUGUAGUCGGUCCCAAGGGUUGGGCUGUUCGCCCAUUAAAGCGGUACGCGAGCUGGGUUCAGAACGUCGUGAGACAGUUCGGUCCCUAUCCGUCGUGGGCGUAGGAAAUUUGAGAGGAGCUGUCCUUAGUACGAGAGGACCGGAAUGGACGCACCGCUGGUGUACCAGUUGUUCUGCCAAGGGCAUAGCUGGGUAGCUAUGUGCGGAAGGGAUAAGUGCUGAAAGCAUCUAAGCAUGAAGCCCCCCUCAAGAUGAGAUUUCCCAUAGCGUAAGCUAGUAAGAUCCCUGAAAGAUGAUCAGGUUGAUAGGUUCGAGGUGGAAGCAUGGUGACAUGUGGAGCUGACGAAUACUAAUAGAUCGAGGACUUAACCAUAUA